UAGGGAAUCUUCGGCAAUGGGGGCAACCCUGACCGAGCAACGCCGCGUGAGUGAAGAAGGUUUUCGGAUCGUAAAGCUCUGUUGUAUGAGAAGAACGUGUGUGAGAGUGGAAAGUUCACACAGUGACGGUAACUUACCAGAAAGGGACGGCUAACUACGUGCCAGCAGCCGCGGUAAUACGUAGGUCCCGAGCGUUGUCCGGAUUUAUUGGGCGUAAAGCGAGCGCAGGCGGUUUAAUAAGUCUGAAGUUAAAGGCAGUGGCUUAACCAUUGUUCGCUUUGGAAACUGUUAAACUUGAGUGCAGAAGGGGAGAGUGGAAUUCCAUGUGUAGCGGUGAAAUGCGUAGAUAUAUGGAGGAACACCGGUGGCGAAAGCGGCUCUCUGGUCUGUAACUGACGCUGAGGCUCGAAAGCGUGGGGAGCAAACAGG
rnacentral:rRNA from 1 species